GGGCCGCCGGGCCGGGGUCGCCGCCCGGGCUCGGUCAGUCGGUACCUUCAUGAAGGUCUCUACCGCGCCUUUGGCCGUGUCCAGAGCCAUAGAAUACCUGUUUCAGAGCUGAAGGGGACCUGAGCCCAUGAUAAUCCAUUACCUCGUGAGAAAGCGGAAAAACUGACUUCAGCUUGCCCAGAUGGCGCAGAGAAUGGGUUUCCCGUAACCCCGCCUGUGUCUUUCCUUCAGCCUCGUCCCAAAUGCCGUGGGAGGGAAGGCACUCUCUGUCAAGCUGCUGUCACCUUACCUGAAGUAAGGAGUCCACGCCUGCAUGUCCGAGGAAAACAGUUUUCUCAAACACAUUAGUUGAAAAACUGAAGACGCUGCCUAAAAUACAAGCUGAGUUAGAGACAGCCCUUGUAAGACUAGAAAAAGAAAUGGAAACUAAGUAACAUGAAUUAACAUAGUCCAGGGUCACAAAGCAACAUGGAACAAGAACCUGGAUCUGAAUUCAGAGGCAGAAUGCUGGAAUCUAAGCCAGAAUGAGGUUACUGCCUAGGCAAAGAAGAAGACAGCUCAUCACAGGCCUGAGAAUCAGGAGAGUCAAUGGUAUUAGUGCUUGUCCGGAAGCCAUCAUGCUUCAAAACCAAGAAGAGCUGAUUUUCCAGUUGGAGUCUAAAGGAAAGGCCUUGUGAGGACAUAACCAGGAAGAGAGUCCUCACCAGAACCUGACCAUACCUGCACCCUGAUCUCAAGCUUCCAGCUUCCAGAACCAUGAGAAAUCAAUGUUUGUUGUUUUAGCCACCCAGUCUACAGAAAUUUGUUAUAGCCACCCUAGCUGACUACC
rnacentral:lncRNA from 10 species